CCUACGGGUGGCUGCAGUAGGGAAUCUUCCACAAUGGACGAAAGCCUGACGGAGCAACGCCGCGUGAGGGAAGAAGGCUUUCGGCUUGUAAACUUCUGUUCUCAGGGACGAAGGAAGUAACGGUACAUGAGGAAUAAGCCACGGCUAACUACUUGCCAGCAGCCGCCGUAAUACGUAGGUGGCAAGCGUUAUCCGGAUUUAUUGGGUGUAAUGGGAGUGUAUGCGGGAGCGCAAGUCAGAUGUGAAAACUCAGGGCUCAAACCUGGGACUGCAUUUGAAACUGUGUUUCUUGAGUGCUGGAGAGGCAAUCGGAAUGCCGUGUGUAGCGGUGAAAUGCGUAGAUAUACGGAGGAACACCAGUGGCGAAGGCGGAUGGCUGGACAGUAACUGACGCUGAGGCGCGAAAGCGUGGGGAGCAAACAGGAUUAGAUACCCGGGUAGUC
rnacentral:rRNA from 1 species